CGAAUCGGAUAAGUGUCUUCGGACACGAAACUCGUCUGCCAUCCCGGCAUCACCGCAUCGCGGUGUGACGACUCUCUCAAAUGCUGCAUCGCAGCAGCAUCUUC
ncrna:unclassified sequences DTF3577 RNA